rnacentral:rRNA from 1 species
AGAGUUUGAUCAUGGCUCAGGAUGAACGCUAGCUACAGGCUUAACACAUGCAAGUCGAGGGGAAACGACAUCGAAAGCUUGCUUUUGAUGGGCGUCGACCGGCGCACGGGUGAGUAACGCGUAUCCAACCUGCCCACCACUUGGGGAUAACCUUGCGAAAGUAAGACUAAUACCCAAUGAUAUCUCUAGAAGACAUCUGAAAGAGAUUAAAGAUUUAUCGGUGAUGGAUGGGGAUGCGUCUGAUUAGCUUGUUGGCGGGGUAACGGCCACCAAGGCGACGAUCAGUAGGGUUCUGAGAGGAGGUCCCCCANAUUGGAACUGAGACACGGUCCAAACUCCUACGGGCGGCA